GAGGCGUGAGUUCGAACCUCACCUCCUACAUUUGGAACUAUACAGAGAAGAUUAGCAUGGCCCCUGCACAAGGAUGACACUAAUACUCUGAGACGGAUAAGCUCGAAUGGGCAAUUUUUU
rnacentral:snRNA from 1 species